UUCGACUUCAAGUAUACCGCGGUAAGAGAGAAGGAUUUUUCGAUGUAUCACCAGUCAUACUCAGUCAAACGAUAAUUACGAGAAACUUAAAAAGUAAUCGAGGAUAUCUAAAAAAUC